UAAUACGGAGGGGGCUAGCGUUGUUCGGAAUUACUGGGCGUAAAGCGCGCGUAGGCGGUGUAUCAAGUCAGAGGUGAAAGCCCUGGGCUUAACCCAGGAACUGCCUUUGAUACUGAUACGCUUGAGUUCGGGAGAGGUGAGUGGAAUUCCCAGUGUAGAGGUGAAAUUCGUAGAUAUUGGGAAGAACACCAGUGGCGAAGGCGACUCACUGGCCCGUUGCUGACGCUGAGGCGCGAAAGCGUGGGGAGCGAACAGGAUUAGAUACCCUGGUAGUCCACGCCGUAAACGAUGGGUGCUAGGUGUUGGGCGCUUGCCGCUCGGUGCCGGAGUUAACGCGUUAAGCACCCCGCCUGGGGAGUACGGCCGCAAGGUUA
rnacentral:rRNA from 1 species